CACCUUGAACACUUUAAUACUAAUUACUUCAAAAUAAUCAUAACCUGACCGACACAAACUGGAACCUAAUUACCCAUAUUAUUAACAUUAAUUUCGGCAGUGAUUCGUUUUAUUUUUCGACUUAUACUUGAUACCGAAAAGGUAUCCUAUUCCUAUUACCAUAGUAUGUUGCGUUACUUUACAAGCACGCAGCUCUCAUUCUUGUCGUUGUUGUAUAUUAAGUCUGUGAGUGACGCAGCUUGACAUGUUUCAGGCAGCAGCUGAAAGUGUAUUUAUGUUGAAAGCGACAUUGCUGCUAGCUAGCUUUACUUUUCCUCAUCGCCUGCGCUAUCUGCCGACGUUAAUGUGCUGCCAUCUAUCGCACUGGAGGAGAAGUACACCGAAAUUCAACCGAGCAGCAGACCAGAUAUCCAAUUCCAGAAACCACAGUGGAGUUUUGUGGUUUGAACACAUUUCAAAAGCAUCAACUGUAAACAUCAUGUUUGAACAUGAAGUCCAUCAUCGUCCAAAGGUCAGAGAGGUUUUUGUAUGGAGCUGCCAUUCGCUCAAACAGUCGAUAGUCGAACAGGGAGAGAUCCACUCGAGAGGAACCAUAGUCGAGUUUCCAUACCAGAAUAAACCAGUAUGUAAAACAAUCACAAUAGUCAGUAGGUUUGCAUUGAGUAAAGGGAACAGAGUUUUGUUUUUGUAGAACAUGUCAAAAACUAUACCAAAAAAAAGGCAUUCUGGGAAAUAUAUGAUGAUUUUUUUUUUUGUUAAUCGCGAAUUAGUUUCACUUGUUCAAAUGAGAACGUGGCAUUGAAUUCCAGUUAUUGCUGUAGAGUGAACUCAAAAUACAUAAAAACCUGCUCCAUCUGCAUGACCUUAUCCCUCGCUGUCAUUUCUCAUGUGUGUGUUUGACUGAAUGAGACGUUAAAAACGUGUCUGUCUCCUCCGUGGCCUGUGAAAAGGUCUUAUGAGGUAACUGCAGUUCUAGUUUCAGUAUCAUAUGGACUGCACAUAUGAGAUCUUUAAAAGCUACGGCAAUGAUGUACGGUGUAACAGUCUUUGCUUUCAUCAGAAGCCAGUCAGAUACAUUUAUCUGUGUGUGUGUGUGUGUGUUUGUGUCAUAGUUGGAUAACAGGUUAUUGUCAUGUUGUUCCCCACUUACUAAUCAAUGUUAUUGCUUUGGUGAUCCACACAUUCACGAUGUAGGGGCUGGGUCAUACUUUCAUGUCCAUGGCAUGGCUGCAGCUUCGUUGUGAGGCUCCACAUCAGUCUUGUUCCAUUCCAGUAAGUGGUGAUUCCUCACCAGGACUUCACCCUCAUGUGUAUGUCCUUGUACUUUGUACUGAGUUGUGCAUGUGAGGG